UUGAGGCAGAACUAGGCACAUUUGUGCAGGGGAAUCCAUGCCUCAUGCUGCUCUCCAGUCUGCCCUGGGUGUUCCUGGCCUUCAUCUUCUCUGGAUCCAGUGUAGCCCAGAUAGUUACUCAAGACCAGCCAUACAUUUCCAGUCCAGUUGGGGAGAUAGUCACACUGAGCUGUCGAUAUGAGACAACUCAGAGCAGUUACAACAUUUUUUGGUACAAACAACUUCCUAGUGGAGAGAUAAUUUACCUUAUUGGUUUGGGUUCUUCUAGACAGAAUGCAAGGUAUGGCCGCUACUCUGUAAAUUUUAAGAGCUCACGUAAAUCCAUCAGCCUCACGAUUUCAGACUUAGAGCUGGAAGACUCUGCAAAGUACUUCUGCGCUCUCUGGGAACUCACAGUGCUUGAAGUAAUAGGAAAAGCUGAACAAAAACCCCAGAGCUUAAUAAGAGAGAGCCCUGCUGCUGUGGGACCCAGGCUGAAAUACACACCUGCAGACCCCAGACAAGAAAUGGUAGUUCUGCGGUUGCUUCAUCUGUGGUCUGGAUCAGAAGAUUUAAUUCUAAAUAAAAGCUCCUUCUAUGUCAUUUGGAAGCAGGUGCCUAGAGUAACUUUCUACUGAUAUAUUCUCCUCCUGAAUUUUUGACUUUAAAUCAGCUACACAGAACAUGUGCAAAAGUCUAAAUUUGAAAACUUGUCCCAUAAAAAUAUAGAAUGGCAGUUUUACCUAAAGAGGCUCACAUCACAAAUCUGGAUCUAGAAGCUGAAAUUGUCAUGAAAAUCAUCUCCUUAGUCCUUUCCCCUCAGACUUCGUGUUGGGGCAAAAUCGGAGGAGAACCACCAGUGAUGUAGAGUAAGAGAUAAGUUAUAAGGAUUAGAACACAGGCAACAGGUAGAGCUGGUGGAAGAGUUCAUAAAAAUUGUUACAUUUGCAUUUGGUAUUGAGUUGAAUUCACUGUAAGUCAACUAGAGUAACAUUUGUGAAGGAAAGUUGGAUGUGGACAUAAGCAUGGAGAAACUGUGGCAUAUAUGGAAAUAUAUGAGGACAAUGGAACCCACAGGACACUCUAAAACUUGUCUGUCUCUAACCUCCUUAGGGCUCACAGUAGUGGGUGAACUUCAGGAGAAGUGGAUGUCAUUUGCCAUCAUGCUACAUGCAUACUUGGUCUAAUACAAAGAGAACAUGAGUAAGAUAUCUGGUGUGAGAGGGUAACA